rnacentral:rRNA from 1 species
UAAUAGGUGGGGACAACCUGGUGAAAACCAGGCUAAUACCGCAUACGCCCGUACGGGGAAGGCGGGGGAUCUUCGGACCUCGCGCUAUUAGAUGAGCCUGCGUUAGAUUAGCUAGUUGGUGGGGUAAAGGCUCACCAAGGCGACGAUCUAUAGCUGGUCUGAGAGGAUGAUCAGCCACACUGGGACUGAGACACGGCCCAGACUCCUACGGGAGGCAGCAGUGGGGAAUAUUGCGCAAUGGGCGAAAGCCUGACGCAGCCAUACCGCGUGUGUGAAGAAGGGUUUAGGCUCGUAAAGCACUUUAAGUAGGGAGGAAGGCCUAAAGUUUAAUACGCUUUAGGAUUGACGUUACCUACAGAAUAAGCACCGGCUAACUCCGUG